UGUAACGUGAAGAUUGGACCCGGAGGAUGGAGUACAUUUACCACAGUAGCCACCACAGGUUCCUGACACUCUGCUGCCAUCCUGUGGACAAAGAAAGAACAACAUCGGUUCUGUUAAACCUGCAAUCUCACUACAGACAAAAACCUCGUCUCAUUAUCAUAGAAAACCAAGCUUGAACUGAAUGUUUCGUGACACCACUAAUGGAGUGGUGGAAUCUAGUGGAAUCCCUUCCCCCUUGAAGACAAAAACAAAGUAACUAAUCAGGGGCACCAUUUGCAUGCAGCACAUGUUUUCAAACAAACAUCUAUGGAGCCACAAAGACGGAGAGAGUGGGUGGACACUUCACAAGAGCAGCUGCCUAAGAAGGGUCCUUUUCGAUGCUCUUGUAAUACUGAAUCAGACUGACACCACAUAAUUGCCCUGGGAAGUCCACAAGGUGUCUGGAGCCACCUUAAAACCUGUUCCCGAGAGGUUGAUGCUGAACCGGCCCUGAAAAAGCCACAAAGAAAAGGCGCACUUUGGAGAAGGUGGUGAAGCCAGCAGAAGCGUAGUCCCGACGACAGUCACAGUCUUCUCUCCUGGACCCAUUGGCUGGUGGACACUGGGUGAUAUACUCCCGUGGAUUCUCUGUCUGCAUUCCUGCACAGUAGACCUGAGGAUAAAAACCAAGAGUAAUAAGGGAAGGUGUUGUGAUAUCCAGAGGAGGAAGAAGAAGCUACACCUCAACCUACCGCCUGCCAGUCUCCCUCUCGCCAUCGAUACCGAGUGGGACACUCAGCGACACGGCAGCUCUGACUGGAUGGCGGACGGGAGCGGUCCGGGCAGUCGGUCUCCAGGGGGCUCCUUUUGGCUCCAGUCUGGCAGAUGACUUCCCGUCGCUGGAUGCCAUCACCGCAGGAGGCUGAGCACUGAAGGGAGCACAGCUGUUGAACCAAGACGUCUGUUCCCCCAUGUGUUAUCAUGCUGCGGGGACGAUGGAGUAUCAUUUCCUCCUGGCCUGGUUCCUGCUCUGCAGCUGUUCUGCAAAGAAGCACAUCCUCUCUGAUUUGCCAUAGAUCCACUGCGGACAUGGCCCCGACUCACAGGAUCGCUGCUCACUGGGCCGGGUGCGAUCCUCACAGCUGUUGGCAGGGUAGCCGUUCUCAUCCUGGCACACAACGACUCGCCGCUGAAAGCCUCCUGCACAUGUGCUGGAGCACUGUUGUCAAAGAGAGAGAGACGUCAGAUGGGUUCUCACACAGGAUACAGUGGCGGACGCGGUGGAGGGGCCGACCUGCCAAGAGGCACACUCCUGCUGCUGACACGUCUGGACCGACUCAGGUUUCGAUGAACCACAAAAGCGGUCAUCUAGACGAUCCUCACCGAACUGGCACCACGUCUGGCGGUGCUUAUAGCCUUUCCCGCACGUGACCAGGCACUGAAAGGAAGGAAGUUUAUA